UUAACCGUCAAGCCUGGCUUGUUGUUGGAUCUAUUUGUCUCUUAGGUGACACAGGUCUGAAAAAUAAUGAACGGUGUCAUGGUGGCCCUAUAUGCAAUGAGCUUUUGACAGCAUGCAUCUAGUGGUGUCUAGGCCCGCUCUUAACCAUUUAUUUUCUAA
rnacentral:misc_RNA from 1 species